AAGUUUAUCUUGGUGAUGGGUGUGGAGAAUAUUCAAGCUACGAAAAUGGAAGACGAUGUUAUUAAUAUCUGGGAUAGGUGGAUGGUGAAGAAAAGAUGGCAGGAUACGAGGCAUAGCCUUCCUGAAUUGGCCGCGUGCUGGUGGACUAUGUGGAAGGAGGUGGAUGGUGAAGAAAAGAUGGCAGGAUACGAGGCAUAGCCUUCCUGAAUUGGCCGCGUGCUGGUGGACUAUGUGGAAGGCUAGAAACGAUAUGAUCUUUCGAAACAUCCAAUUAGAUCCACUAGUAACGGUGUACAGAUUUAAGGAGCUGCUGAAAUCCUGGGAGCUGUGUGCAUAAAUUGCUAGACGUCCUACCAUAGCCGUUGUUUUUUUUUUUUUUUUUUUUUUUUUCGUGCCCCUCCUUCGAGGCCCCGACUGCCUCACCCAUGUAGCCUAAUUCAUAUUUUCAAUGAAUGAAGUAGAUAGCGUGCUACCUUUUCUCAAAAAAAUGUACAUUAUAAUACGUACAAUUUCUCAGGAUA
rnacentral:lncRNA from 1 species